ensembl:snoRNA small nucleolar RNA U13
AUCCUUUUGUAGGUCAUAAGCGUUAUGAUUGGGUGUUCAUGCUCUCGUGUGAGAUAUGCCUCUCUGAAACCUUGUUACAUCAGCACAUUACCCAUAUGAUG